AAGAUCAACAGUUCUUUUCUCUCUUUUAACUUAAAUACGAUUUAUAAAAUUUAUUUUCGCUCCGUGUCGUCGGAUUUUCGAAUUGUUGGUUUUUGAUAAUUUUUUUUGAAAAAUUAAGGAUAUCGAAAAAAUAUUUAAAUCCUUUUUUAACGAUUAAGUAAUUUUCAAAAAAAAAAAAUAAAGUAAAAGUGUGUCUGAAUUUUUGAAGGAAGCAUUUGGGCAGAGAACAAACAAUACUUGACUUAAUAUCAUAUCAUAAAGUGCGAAGUCUAGCCCCAAGCUCUCUCAAGUGCUUUUGAUUAAUUUUCUUGAAGUAAAACUUAUAAAAAAAAACUUAAAGAAAAAUGCCGAAACCACAAGCCAGCCAAGAGGAUGAUGAUCCCACCCCAUACUUGUUUGUUUCUUUGGAACAAAGACGUAUCGAUCAAUCGAAACCAUAUGACUCGAAGAAGAAUUGCUGGAUUCCCGAUGAGAAAGAGGGUUAUCUCUUGGGAGAAAUCAAGGCUACCAAGGGUGACAUUGUCAGCGUUGGUUUGCCCGGUGGAGAGACAAGAGAUUUAAAGAAAGAUCUGCUCCAACAAGUGAAUCCACCAAAAUACGAAAAAGCCGAAGAUAUGUCAAAUUUGACAUACCUUAACGAUGCCUCUGUUUUGCAUAACUUGAGGCAGCGAUACUACCAUAAGUUGAUCUACACAUACUCAGGUCUUUUCUGUGUUGCCAUCAAUCCUUACAAGCGUUACCCCGUAUAUACCAACCGUUGCGCUAAGAUGUACCGUGGUAAGCGUCGUAAUGAAGUGCCACCACAUAUUUUCGCCAUUUCUGAUGGUGCCUACGUCGCCAUGUUAACCGACCACGUUAAUCAAUCUAUGUUGAUUACUGGAGAGUCUGGUGCCGGAAAGACUGAAAACACGAAGAAGGUAAUUGCCUACUUCGCAACUGUUGGUGCAUCAAAGAAGGAUGACUCCCAAAAGAACAAGGGUUCCCUUGAAGAUCAAGUUGUCCAAACUAAUCCUGUUCUUGAAGCCUUUGGUAACGCUAAGACCGUCCGUAAUGAUAACUCUUCUCGUUUCGGUAAGUUCAUCCGUAUUCACUUUGGACCAACUGGUAAACUUGCUGGUGCUGAUAUUGAAACUUAUCUGUUGGAGAAGGCUCGUGUCAUCUCUCAACAAUCAUUGGAACGUUCUUACCACAUUUUCUACCAGAUCAUGUCUGGUUCCGUUGCUGGAGUUAAAGCCAUGUGCUUCCUGUCAGACAAUAUUUACGAUUACGUUAACGUAUCGCAAGGUAAAAUCACUGUACCAAACAUGGAUGACGGUGAGGAAUUCUCUUUGACAGAUCAAGCUUUCGAUAUCUUGGGUUUCACUAAACAAGAAAAGGAAGAUGUCUACAAAAUUACCGCUGCUGUUAUGCACAUGGGUGGCAUGAAAUUCAAGCAAAGGGGUCGCGAAGAACAAGCUGAACAAGAUGGUCAAGAAGAAGGUGAACGUGUUGCUAAGCUUUUGGGUUGUGAUGUAACCGAUUUGUACAAGAACUUGUUGAAACCACGUAUUAAGGUCGGUAACGAGUUCGUCACCCAAGGUCGUAACGUCCAACAAGUAACCAACUCCAUUGGUGCCUUGUGUAAGGGUGUUUUCGAUCGUCUCUUCAAAUGGUUGGUCAAGAAGUGUAACGAAACUUUGGACACAAAACAAAAACGCCAGCACUUCAUUGGUGUACUGGAUAUUGCUGGUUUCGAAAUUUUCGACUACAACGGCUUCGAACAAUUGUGUAUUAACUUCACCAACGAAAAAUUGCAACAAUUCUUCAACCAUCACAUGUUCGUUUUGGAACAAGAAGAAUACAAGAGGGAAGGUAUCGACUGGGCCUUCAUUGAUUUCGGCAUGGAUCUUCUCGCCUGUAUUGAUUUGAUUGAGAAGCCUAUGGGUAUCUUGUCCAUCCUUGAAGAAGAAUCUAUGUUCCCCAAGGCAACUGAUCAAACAUUCGCUGAAAAGUUGACCAACACCCAUUUGGGUAAGUCAGCUCCAUUCCAAAAACCAAAACCACCAAAGCCCGGUCAACAAGCUGCUCACUUUGCUAUUGGCCAUUAUGCUGGUUGUGUAUCAUACAACAUCACCGGUUGGUUGGAAAAGAACAAGGAUCCAUUGAACGACACCGUUGUUGACCAGUUCAAGAAGUCUGGCAACAAAUUGUUGAUUGAAAUCUUCGCUGAUCAUCCAGGUCAAUCUGGUGGCGGUGAACAAGCUAAGGGAGGUCGUGGUAAGAAGGGUGGUGGUUUCGCUACUGUCUCUUCAGCCUACAAAGAACAAUUGAACAGCUUGAUGACAACAUUGCGUUCAACACAACCUCACUUCGUGCGUUGUAUUAUUCCCAACGAAAUGAAACAACCUGGUGUUGUAGAUGCUCAUUUGGUUAUGCAUCAAUUGACAUGUAACGGUGUACUUGAAGGUAUCCGUAUUUGUCGUAAAGGUUUCCCCAACAGGAUGAACUACCCUGACUUCAAGAUGCGGUACCAAAUCCUUUGCCCCGCACAAAUCAAAGAUCAGCCUGAUCCUAAAAAGGCCGCUAAGAUCAUUCUUGAGUCAACUGAACUCGAUGCUGAUUUUUACCGUCUUGGACACACCAAGGUGUUCUUCCGUGCUGGUGUCCUGGGUCAAAUGGAAGAGUUCCGUGAUGAACGUCUUGGUAAGAUCAUGUCCUGGAUGCAAGGUUGGGCCCGUGGUUACUUGGCUCGUAAGGGCUUCAAGAAACUACAAGAGCAACGUGUUGCCCUUAAGGUUGUCCAACGUAACUUGCGUAAAUACUUGCAAUUGCGCACAUGGCCAUGGUACAAAUUGUGGCAGAAGGUUAAGCCUCUUCUUAACGUCAGCCGUGUUGAAGAUGAAAUUGCCAGGCUCGAAGAGAAGGCAAAGAAGGCUGAAGAAGCUUUGGGAGCUGAAGUUAAGGUCCGCAAGGAGUUGGAAGGCCUCAACGCUAAGUUGUUGGCUGAAAAGACUGCCCUUUUGGAUUCAUUGUCAGGAGAAAAGGGUGCCCUUCAAGAUUUCCAAGAAAGGUGUGCCAAGCUUACUGCCCAAAAGAACGACCUCGAAAACCAAUUGCGCGACAUUCAAGAACGUUUGUCCCAAGAGGAAGAUGCCCGCAACCAACUCUUCCAACAAAAGAAGAAGGCCGACCAAGAGAUCUCCGGCUUGAAGAAGGAUAUUGAAGAUUUGGAAUUGUCCACCCAAAAGGGAGAACAAGACAAGGCUACCAAGGAUCACCAAAUCCGCAGCUUGAACGAUGAGAUUGCCCACCAAGAUGAACUCAUCAACAAGUUGAACAAGGAAAAGAAAAUGCAAGGAGAGACCAACCAAAAGACUGGUGAAGAACUCCAAGCUGCCGAAGACAAGAUCAACCAUUUGAACAAGGUUAAGGCUAAGUUGGAGCAAACAUUGGACGAACUCGAAGAUUCAUUGGAACGUGAGAAGAAAUUGCGCGGUGAUGUUGAGAAAUCCAAACGUAAGGUUGAAGGUGACUUGAAAUUGACCCAAGAAGCCGUAUCAGAUUUGGAACGCAACAAAAAGGAACUCGAACAAACAAUCCAACGCAAGGACAAGGAACUCUCAUCAUUGACUGCUAAAUUGGAAGAUGAACAAUCGGUUGUUGGUAAAUUGCAAAGACAAAUCAAGGAAUUGCAAGCCCGUAUCGAAGAAUUGGAAGAAGAAGUCGAAGCUGAGCGUCAAGCUCGUGCUAAGGCCGAGAAACAACGUGCUGAUUUGGCUCGCGAAUUGGAGGAAUUGGGUGAACGUCUUGAAGAGGCUGGUGGUGCUACAUCAGCUCAAAUUGAAUUGAACAAGAAACGUGAAGCUGAAUUGAGCAAAUUGCGUCGUGACUUGGAAGAGGCUAACAUUCAACACGAAUCUACAUUGGCUAACUUGCGCAAGAAGCACAACGACUCUGUUGCUGAAAUGGCUGAACAAGUUGAUCAAUUGAACAAAUUGAAGGCUAAGGCUGAAAAGGAGAAGGCCCAAUACUACGGUGAAUUGAAUGACCUCCGCGCCGGUGUUGAUCAUCUCGCAAACGAGAAGGCUGCCCAAGAAAAGAUUGCCAAGCAAUUGCAACACACCCUCAACGAAGUACAAUCGAAAUUGGACGAAACCAACAGGACUCUCAACGAUUUCGAUGCCUCAAAGAAGAAGCUCUCCAUCGAGAACUCCGACUUGUUGCGUCAAUUGGAAGAAGCCGAAUCACAAGUAUCACAAUUGUCCAAGAUCAAGAUUUCCCUUACCACCCAGCUCGAAGACACCAAGAGGUUGGCCGAUGAAGAAGGUCGCGAACGUGCCACACUUUUGGGUAAAUUCCGUAACUUGGAACACGAUUUGGACAACCUCCGCGAACAAGUUGAAGAGGAAGCAGAAGGCAAGGCUGACUUGCAACGUCAACUCAGCAAGGCUAAUGCCGAAUCACAAAUCUGGCGCAGCAAAUACGAGUCUGAUGGUGUCGCACGCUCAGAAGAAUUGGAAGAAGCCAAGAGGAAGCUCCAAGCUCGUUUGGCCGAAGCCGAAGAGACCAUCGAAUCACUCAACCAAAAAUGUGUUGCACUCGAGAAGACCAAGCAACGCCUGUCUACCGAAGUCGAAGACUUGCAAUUGGAAGUUGACCGUGCCAGCGCUAUUGCCAAUGCUGCUGAAAAGAAACAGAAGGCAUUCGACAAGAUUAUUGGAGAAUGGAAACUCAAGGUCGACGAUUUGGCCGCCGAGUUGGAUGCAUCACAAAAGGAAUGCCGCAACUACUCCACCGAAUUGUUCCGUCUCAAGGGAGCCUACGAAGAAGGCCAGGAACAACUUGAAGCCGUCCGUCGUGAAAACAAGAACCUCGCUGAUGAAGUUAAGGACUUGCUCGACCAAAUUGGUGAAGGUGGCCGCAACAUCCAUGAAAUUGAAAAGGCACGCAAACGUCUUGAAGCUGAAAAGGAUGAACUCCAAGCUGCUCUUGAAGAAGCUGAAGCUGCUUUGGAACAAGAAGAAAACAAGGUUCUCCGUGCUCAACUUGAGUUGUCUCAAGUACGUCAAGAAAUUGACCGUCGUAUCCAAGAAAAGGAAGAAGAAUUCGAAAACACCCGCAAGAACCACCAACGCGCCCUCGACUCCAUGCAAGCAUCUUUGGAAGCCGAAGCCAAGGGUAAGGCUGAGGCCCUUCGCAUGAAGAAGAAGUUGGAAGCUGACAUCAACGAACUUGAAAUUGCUUUGGAUCAUGCCAACAAGGCUAACGCCGAGGCCCAAAAGAACAUCAAACGUUACCAACAACAACUCAAGGACAUCCAAACUGCCCUCGAGGAAGAACAACGUGCACGUGAUGAUGCCCGCGAACAACUUGGAAUCUCUGAACGUCGUGCUAACGCCCUCCAGAACGAGCUUGAAGAAUCUCGUACUCUUCUUGAACAAGCUGACCGUGGCCGCAGACAAGCCGAACAAGAAUUGGCCGAUGCCCACGAACAACUCAACGAAAUUUCAGCCCAAAACGCAUCCAUUUCCGCCGCCAAGAGGAAGUUGGAAUCCGAACUUCAGACACUCCACUCCGAUUUGGAUGAAUUGUUGAAUGAAGCCAAGAACUCCGAAGAGAAGGCCAAGAAGGCUAUGGUUGAUGCUGCCCGUCUUGCUGAUGAACUCCGCGCUGAACAAGAUCACGCACAAACACAAGAAAAACUCAGGAAAGCACUUGAACAACAAAUCAAGGAAUUGCAAGUCCGAUUGGAUGAGGCUGAAGCCAACGCCCUUAAGGGAGGCAAGAAGGCCAUCCAAAAAUUGGAACAACGUGUCCGCGAAUUGGAGAACGAAUUGGACGGUGAACAAAGGAGACACGCCGAUGCCCAAAAGAACCUCCGCAAAUCAGAGCGCCGCAUUAAGGAAUUGUCCUUCCAGUCUGAAGAGGACCGCAAGAACCACGAACGCAUGCAAGACUUGGUAGAUAAAUUGCAACAAAAGAUUAAGACAUACAAGAGGCAGAUCGAAGAAGCUGAAGAGAUCGCUGCCUUGAACUUGGCCAAAUUCCGUAAGGCUCAACAAGAAUUGGAAGAAGCCGAAGAACGUGCAGAUUUGGCCGAACAAGCAAUCAGCAAAUUCCGUGCAAAGGGACGUGCUGGUUCAGUCGGUCGUGGUGGAAGCCCAGCGCUAACAACGCCUAAGAGUGGCCGCAAGAGUGCGCUGGAACUAUAAAUAACUCACAAAAUUUCUCAUUCAACACUCUCUUUCUCUCUCUUUCAUUACAUUUCCCCGAGCGUCCGUUAGGCCACAACUUGACGGUUUGGCUUUCCCACCCAGAUUCGACCUUGCUCCAGAAAACGAAUUUUAAAUGCCAUUUAAUUUAUUUAUAAUUAAUUAAUUAUGUUAAUUUUAACAAAAAGAAAAAUAUUUUAAUUAUUUUUUCUAGUAUUUUUCAAUUUUAUUCUUUAAUUUUGAUUUUAAUUCUGAUUUUGUUUUUGAAUAAAGUAACUUCGAACGACGGGAAAACCAACAAAAAAUUAAUAAUUUUUUAUGCACAUUAAAAACAAACGACAUUUACAUAAAUCAAAAAUAAAAACGUUUUCGUUGACAAAAAAAAAAGGCUAUUUUACCUAAACCUAUGUAUUUAUUAUUUUUAUACGAUCAAACCCGUCAUCUUAAAAAUUAACUAGGACUUGUCGUCGUCGAUGGGAGAGCAUACAUCAACAUAUUUUUAUUUCUUAUUUUUAUUUAUAUGUAAAAGAAACAAAACAAAAACACACACAACACUAAUGGAGCUUAUGUUACAUUAUUAUUUUUAAUUUAUCGAAAAUACUUUAUUUAAUUUAUAAAAUAAAAAAUAUACAAAAAAGGAACAAAAUAAAUGUAAAUCAAUAAAAAAAA